CUAAUUUAUAUAGAAUCCUGCAUUUAUACUAUGGUA
rnacentral:rRNA from 1 species